CGGUGGAGUGCGGGAGAGCUGGAGUCCGGCGCAUGCGCACUGACGCCUGGUCCAGCUGCUGGGCUGUGCGCAGGCGCGAUGCGGUGCGCGUGGGAACCCAGUGGUGGUUUGACGUUGGCCCCGGAGAUGUCGUGUGGAUGCCGGUGUCUGGACUGACCCGCAUGGUCGGUCCGGUGAGGAGAGUACGUCGUGAGGAGCAGCUUUGGACAGCCCAAAGAAAAUAGGCUCUUUUUCAGAAACACCCAUCUCCACUUUAAGGAGCCAGCAAUGUACACUAAUGUGAAUGAAUCCAGAAAAAAGAGUGGCUUGAAAAGUAACCAGCAUGAAUAACAUGGUAUCAUCUACGGAAAAAUCCGCUCCAGCUUCAGAAUACCUGGCUUAAAAAGAACUUUCAUAAUGGACCCGUUUCAUGGGAUUGUUUUAUCCUGCAUUCUUGGGGUCUUAGACUGCUUACCUAGAGUUUUAAGAUCUAUGUGAACUAACUCUUCUUUUGGUAAGUUAAUAAUGAAACAAAAUAGUAUCCAAGCUAAAUCAACUAUUGGAUGUGUUUUAUUAUUUUUUUAUUUUAUUUUUUUUUGUGGUACACGGGCCUCUCACUGUUGUUGGCCUCUCCCGUUGCGGAGCACAGGCUCCAGACGCGCAGGCUCAGCGGCCAUGACUUACGGG